rnacentral:rRNA from 1 species
UACGUAGGUGGCAAGCGUUGUCCGGAUUUACUGGGCGUAAAGAGCGCGCAGGCGGCUGGGCAAGUCCGAUGUGAAAGCUUCCGGCUUAACUGGAAAAUUGCAUCCGAAACUGCUCGGCUAGAGGUAGGUAGGGGAGAUCGGAAUUCCUGGUGUAGCGGUGAAAUGCGCAGAAUAUCAGGAGGAACACCGGUGGCGAAGGGCGGGAAUCU